rnacentral:rRNA from 1 species
CUUAGGACCGUUAUAGUUACGGCCGCCGUUUACUGGGGCUUCAGUUCAGAGCUUCGCUUACGCUAACCCCUCUCCUUAACCUUCCAGCACCGGGCAGGUGUCAGCCCCUAUACUUCGCCUUACGGCUUCGCAGAGACCUGUGUUUUUGCUAAACAGUCGCUUGGGCCUAUUCACUGCGGCUUUCCGUUAAGAAAGCACCCCUUCUCCCGAAGUUACGGGGUCAUUUUGCCGAGUUCCUUAACCAGAGUUCUCUCGCACACCUUAGGAUUCUCUCCUCGCCUACCUGUUUCGGUU